rnacentral:rRNA from 1 species
UACAGGGGUCCCAAGCGUUGUUCGGAUUCAUUGGGCGUAAAGGGUGCGUAGGCGGCGCGGUAAGUCGGGUGUGAAAUCUCGGAGCUUAACUCCGAAACUGCAUUCGAUACUGCCGUGCUUGAGGACUGGAGAGGAGACUGGAAUUUACGGUGUAGCGGUGAAAUGCGUAGAUAUCGUAAGGAAGACCAGUGGCGAAGGCGGGUCUCUGGACAGUUCCUGACGCUGAGGCACGAAGGCUAGGGGAGCAAACGGG